AACGCAUAUUGCGCUCUCUGGUAUUCCGGAGAGCAUGCCUGUUUGAGUAUCUAAUAAUCCUCAAUCCCUUUGGGUGAUUGGAUGUGAGUCGUGUCUGCUAGACUGGCUUGAAAUAUUGUGUCUAGAGGGUACCUUGCCAUCUCUAAAAGAAAAGUAAUUGAAUGAAUAUUGCUCAACCUUUUCUGAAUACCUGGGAGUUGGUUUAGAACCAUGCACUAUGGCACUCUUGACAGAUACCUAUAGAGCUCCGCUCUGAACCAUGGUCGCAAACCAGGCAGGAAGACCCGCUGAAC
rnacentral:misc_RNA from 1 species